AAAACACACACAAACAUGUGCAUGCACACACACACACACACAAAUAACAUAAAGAUCCAUGAUUCACUCUUCAAAUCAACUUGCUUUCAACCAUAUGGAAAGUGUAUGGAUUGAAUCUUUCAGAUACUUUUUCAGAGCAGAUACGCCAAACUCUAUUUCUCUCACCUGGCUCCAGGCAUUAUUUAGUCUUCUCCAGCUGGGUAUAAUUAUUCAUUAGGGAACUCUCCUGUUAUUCACACUCAAAUUUGUGAUGGCUGUGCUGUGGAUGCCACUAUCUUGAAAGGAAGCCUUACAUGGUGAAGCGUUCGGGUGGGUAGAAGGAACAUAAGAAGAGAAAACUAGAGGAAAGAGAAGAAGAUAUGUACUUCGGAGGAAUGUCAUCUCCAUGAUGUCUGAAGCUUGCCUUGGAGCUCUUCCAAAGGAGGUGGACAGAUGACCAGGGAUGGUAAGAACAAUGUAAUUUGGAGGACAAAGGAAGAACUCAGAUUUCUUGGAUGACUUUACCAGUGAAAUGAGUUCCUGAUUCAUCUGAAAGGGCAAGUGGAAUACCCUAGGUCUAGUGGGGAACAUUAGUGCAGCUCAGCAAUAUUUCCAGUUAUUCUCUGUCUGGGCAUACUGAAGGAUUGCAUGGUGCUACUCCUCUUUGAAGAUGACAGAGGCCACAUGAUUUGCUUUGGCUGAUAAAUAGUGAGUGGAAGAAAUAUGCACCACUUUCAGAUGAAAAUAAUCAAUAACUGUAACUUGGCUUGUCAAACUGCUUUUUAUAUUCUUUCAUGUCAUUCAUGGAGGUGUCAUAAAAUUCACGCAUCCUGGAAAGCUGAGCCAACACAGAAGACAACUGACCUGGAAUGUCAGCCAGGCGUGUGAUGUAUUUUGCACAAGAUAUUUUUAUUGGAUUAAGCCACUGAGAUUUAGGGGCUGCCCGUUAACACAGCAAAGCUCAUCUUAUGCUACCUAUGUCUUCUACACCUGUGAAAUGUCUAUGGUGACUAUUAGAAUGUGUUUGAAUACAGCUGAACUUACUCUACCAAAUAUUAAAUAUUUAAGUGUUCUAAUUAGGUAAAAUUUGGAAAUCUUUGCAUAUCAUGGAUUUUUAUAUCAGCCCAAGUAUUUGAAAUACGUAGAAUAGUAUAUGAACAUGGCAGUAACAUGACAAAUAAGCAUCCCUUAGUAUUUAAAGGGCACUUAUAAAGUCUUUAUUAUCCUGGAAUAUUUAGUUCAAUGAAUACAAUAACAUCACAAGAAAGAAAACAUCAUGAAUAGAUAAAAUGUAGUUAUCCAUUUAUUUCUUAUUUCUGUAUUCACCAGGAAAGUUUUUUCUGUGUGUUCUUUUAUUUGUAAACAGCUACUUGGUAACUAAGAGGCAUUAAAUUAAAGACUAACUUGACUUUGCCAGGUCAUCAAAUUCUGAUCCAUAAUGAACUCUGUGUAUAAAUAAAAAGCAGAUCAUUUUUUUCCAUCAAAGAGGUAGUUCUUUACAUUUCUAAAUCCAAGUCUCUCAAUAUUCACUCUUUGUAGAAUUUUUAUAA
rnacentral:lncRNA from 1 species